rnacentral:rRNA from 1 species
GACGAACGCUGGCGGCGUGCUUAACACAUGCAAGUCGAGCGGUAAGGCCCUUUCGGGGGUACGACGAGCGGCGAACGGGUGAGUAACACGUGGGUGACCUCGCCCUCAGCUCUGGGAUAAGCCCGGGAAACUGGGUCUAAUACUGGAUAUGACUCCAUGACGCAUGUUGUGGGGUGGAAAGCCUUGUGCGGCUGAGGAUGGGCCCGCGGCCUAUCAGCUUGUUGGUGGGGGAUGGCCUACCAAGGCGACGACGGGUAGGCCGGCCUGAGAGGGC